UACGUAGGGUGCAAGCGUUUGUCCGGAAUUAUUGGGCGUAAAGAGCUCGUAGGCGGUUUGUCGCGUCUGCUGUGAAAACUCGGGGCUUAACUCCGGGCCUGCAGUGGGUACGGGCAGACUAGAGUGCGGUAGGGGAGACUGGAAUUCCUGGUGUAGCGGUGAAAUGCGCAGAUAUCAGGAGGAACACCGGUGGCGAAGGCGGGUCUCUGGGCCGUAACUGACGCUGAGGAGCGAAAGCGUGGGGAGCGAACAGG
rnacentral:rRNA from 1 species